rnacentral:lncRNA from 1 species
AAGCUCUGGUAAGAACUUCUGAACUCCCUAGCACUAACUCAGGGGGAGCUUUUGUCUAUCUGAUCUAAUAUUUUUCAUGUUUCAUCUGAUAAUUUUAUUUGUUUUGUCAUCAUCAAAAAGGGGGAGAUUGUAAGAACAAAAAGUGUUCUACAACAGACUCCAUGAUUUUGAUGAUAACAAAGGAUGAAACCAAAAAUGGCACCCUAACGAAAAGUUUCUAAGUGUGCAGGGUUCUAAAGAA